UUAUGACAAAAAGUCAGUUUGGGUAGCAUCCUAUUGCUGAUCAUGUGAAAUAUGAAUUCAGUACUGGCUGUCUUCUAAUCAUCACAUGCUCAUCAGUGAAAGAUCUUCAGGGUGACCUUAUAUUUGAUCUCUGAUUGUUACCACACAGGGGCCUACCUCCCAGCAUCUUCAACCUCAAGACAUGUACAUAUCACAAUGGAAAAGGUUAGCAGAUGUGCUUCACAAGGCCAUUCACAGACCCACUCUGGCUCUGCUAUACUCCAUCCUUGGAACUAAGAAUCACCACAAUCACUGACCACUGUCAAGAUGUAGAAU